rnacentral:rRNA from 1 species
CCUUAUGACCUGGGCUACACACGUGCUACAAUGGCGUAUACAACGAGUUGCCAACCCGCGAGGGUGAGCUAAUCUCUUAAAGUACGUCUCAGUUCGGAUUGUAGGCUGCAACUCGCCUACAUGAAGUCGGAAUCGCUAGUAAUCGCGGAUCAGCACGCCGCGGUGAAUACGUUCCCGGGUCUUGUACACACCGCCCGUCACACCAUGAGAGUUUGUAACACCCAAAGCCGGUGGGGUAACCUUCGGGAGCCAGCCGUCUAAGGUGGGACAGAUGAUUAGGGUGAAGUCGUAACAAGGUAGCCGUAGGAGAACCUGCGGCUGGAUCACCUCCUUU